rnacentral:tRNA from 1 species
GCGGGCGUGGCGAAACUGGUAGACGCACAGCACUUAAAAUGCUGAGUCCGAAAGGGCGUGCCGGUUCGAUUCCGGCCGCCCGCACCA